rnacentral:tRNA from 1 species
GCGGAAAUAGUUCAGUUGGUAGAGCAUAACCUUGCCAAGGUUAGGGUCGCGAGUUCGAGUCUCGUUUUCCGCU